UGAUUCAGACACUUCAGGCUUGUACAGUUUUUCAAUUUUCCCUCUGAUUUGCAUUUCUUUCCCCUUUGCCACACUCCUCUGAAUCACUUUUUUCCCCUUUCACAUUCCCUUACUCACACUUAACACUCUUCACCCCAAGGAAGCAAAGAUUAGUAACCUUGUCCUAUUGAAUUUAGACUGAAUGUAGACUGAAAAUAAGUUUGUAAAUCUGAUUUCUAUUUUAGGCAGAAGCCAGAAUAAUAACUGUUCCCACAAGAGUAAAUCAAAUCACUGUUUCUAUUAACUUCCUCAGAUUCACAUUCAACAACUCUUGGGCAAGGCUAGCUGGGGACAGCAGUCUCCGAUUCUCUCUAACCUCUGAACAGUUUGGAAGAAUUACACUUUUCCUCCUUUUUGAGUAGGGUUUCAGGUAAAGCAGCACUUCAAAUGUACUGUUCUGAUGAAAAGUCUACAAGGUAGGGCCCAGGCUAAACCCAUCUCUUUGGAUCUGGGUCCAUCUCUCUCCUUUUUUGACUUUCCAUUUCUUACCUUUCUAAGCUUUAUUCUCUUUACUUUUGCUGAUUUUCUUUACAAUGAGCCCAAACAGUAGGCUUAGCUAUGAUCCCCUGGCAUUUUUCCAAGAUGGAAAGAAAUGAGACAAAGGACAGAGAUUAAGAAAAGAAGAGAGAGGGAAAUCAUUUUUGAAAUACUGGGCAUGUCCUCCCCUCCCCCACCCAUCUAUCUUUUCCAUUUUCUUCUUAAUUAUUGCAAAUCAAACCCUUGGAAUCCUAAGAAGUAAUGGGAGAAUUCUAAAAGGGAAACUGAAAUUUAA
rnacentral:lncRNA from 1 species